CCCUUAGAUGUCCUGGGCCGCACGCGCGCUACACUGACAUGUUCAACAAGUUUCUCCUAGUUCGACAGGACUGGGAAAUCUUUGAACGCAUGUCGUGAUAGGGAUAGAUCAUUGCAAUUAUUGAUCUUGAACGAGGAAUUCCUAGUAAACGCGAGUCAUCAGCUCGCAUUGAUUACGUCCCUGCCCUUUGUACACACCGCCCGUCGCACCUGCCGAUUGAAUGUUUCGGUGAAGAUUCCGGAUAGGACUGAUUUGAUUUAUUUCAUUUCCGACCUAAAAGCUAUCUAAACCUCAACAUUUAGAGGAAGGUGAAGUCGUAACA
rnacentral:rRNA from 1 species